GCACAAGCGGAGGAGCAUGUGGUUUAAUUCGAUGAUACGCGAGGAACCUUACCUGGGCUCGAACGUAAGAUGACUGUAGGUGAAAGCUUACAUCUCUUCGGAGCAUUUUACGAGGUGCUGCAUGGUUGUCGUCAGCUCGUGCCGUGAGGUGUCGGGUUAAGUCCCAUAACGAGCGCAACCCCUACCUUUAGUUGCCAUCAGGUUAAGCUGGGGACUCUAAAGGAACUGCCUACGCAAGUAGUGAGGAAGGCGGGGAUGACGUCAAAUCAGCACGGCCCUUACGUCCAGGGCUACACACGUGCUACAAUGGCCGAUACAGAGGGCAGCUACCUGGUGACAGGAUGCAAAUCUCCAAAGUCGGUCUCAGUUCGGAUCGGAGUCUGCAACCCGACUCCGUGAAGUUGGAUUCGCUAGUAAUCGCGCAUCAGCCAUGGCGCGGUGAAUACGUUCCCGGGCCUU
rnacentral:rRNA from 1 species